rnacentral:sRNA from 2 species
GAUCAUUAUUGAAUAAAUCUGAUAAGUUGUUGCUGGUUCUCUAGGGAGCAUGUGCACGCUUGUCGUCUUUAUAUUUUCUCCACCUGUGCAUCUUUUGUAGACCUGGAUACCUUUCUGAUUGCUAGUCACUCGGGUAUGGGGAUUGACUUGACGGUCUCUCCUUACAUUUCCAGGCCUAUGUUUCUACACAUACCCACUUCUACGUUAUAGAAUGUAAUCAAUGGCCUUUGUGCCUAUAAAACAUUAUACAACUUUCAGCAACGGAUCUCUUGGCUCUCGCAUCGAUGAAGAACGCAGCGAAAUGCGAUAAGUAAUGUGAAUUGCAGAAUUCAGUGAAUCAUCGAAUCUUUGAACGCACCUUGCGCUCCUUGGUAUUCCGAGGAGCAUGCCUGUUUGAGUGUCAUUAAUAUAUCAACCUUUUCAAAUUUUGUUUGUUGAGUGUUGGAUAUGGGGGUCUCUUUUGCUGGUCUUUCUAAGGUCAGCUCCCCUGAAAUGUAUUAGCGGAACAAUUGUGGACCGUUUAUUGGUGUGAUAACUAUCUACGCUAUUAACGUGAAGCAGGUUCAGCUUCUAACAGUCCAUUCAUUUGGACAAAUUCUUAUUAAAUGUGACCUCAAAUCAGGUAGGACUACCCGCUGAACUUAAGCAUAUCAAUAAGCGGAGGAAAAGAAACUAACAAGGAUUCCCCUAGUAACUGCGAGUGAAGCGGGAAAAGCUCAAAUUUAAAAUCUGUCAGUCUUAGACUGUCCGAGUUGUAAUCUAGAGAAGUGUUAUCCGC